UGGGGAAUAUUGCGCAAUGGCCGCAAGGCUGACGCAGCGACGCCGUGUGUGGGAUGACGGCCUUCGGGUUGUAAACCACUGUCAGGAGGGACGAAGUUCUGACGGUACCUCCAGAGGAAGCACCGGCUAACUCCGUGCCAGCAGCCGCGGUAACACGGAGGGUGCGAGCGUUGUCCGGAUUCACUGGGCGUAAAGCGCGCGUAGGCGGCCACGUAAGUCACUUGUGAAAUCCCGGGGCUCAACUCCGGGCGGCCAGGUGAUACUGCGUGGCUAGAGCUCGGUAGAGGCAAGUGGAAUUCCCGGUGUAGCGGUGGAAUGCGUAGAUAUCGGGAAGAACACCAGUGGCGAAGGCGGCUUGCUGGGCCGAUGCUGACGCUGAGGUGCGAAAGCGUGGGGAGCAAACAGGAUUAGAUACCCCCGUAGUCC
rnacentral:rRNA from 1 species